rnacentral:rRNA from 1 species
CAGUAGCCGCGGUAAUACGAGGGGGGCAAGCGUUGUUCGGAAUUAUUGGGCGUAAAGGGUGCGUAGGCGGUUUGACAAGUCUUGUGUGAAAUCUCUGGGCUCAACCCAGAGUCUGCACGGGAAACUGUCGGGCUAGAGGAUGGGAGAGGUGAGUGGAAUUUCCGGUGUAGCGGUGAAAUGCGUAGAUAUCGGAAGGAACACCUGUGGCGAAAGCGGCUCACUGGACCAUUUCUGACGCUGAUGCACGAAAGCUAGGGGAGCAAACAGGAUUAGAUACCCCGGUAGUCCCUGUCUCUUAUAC